rnacentral:rRNA from 1 species
GUAACGCGUAGAUAAUCUACCUGAUGAUUUGGGAUAACACUUCGAAAGGGGUGCUAAUACCGAAUAAGCCCACGGAGUCCUUGGACACUGCGGGAAAAGGGGGGGACCUUCGGGCCUUCCGUCAUCAGAUGAGUCUGCGUACCAUUAGCUAGUUGGUAGGGUAAAGGCCUACCAAGGCGACGAUGGUUAGCUGGUCUGAGAGGAUGAUCAGCCACACUGGAACUGAGACACGGUCCAGACUCCUACGGGAGGCAGCAGUGGGGAAUUUUGCGCAAUGGGGGAAACCCUGACGCAGCAACGCCGCGUGAGUGAUGAAGGCCCUUGGGUCGUAAAGCUCUGACAGAGGGAAAGAAAUGUGGAGUGGCUAAUAACCGCACCACUUGACGGUACCCUCAAAGGAAGCACCGGCUAACUCCGUGCCGGCAGCCGCGGUAAUACGGGGGGUGCAAGCGUUGUUCGGAUUUAUUGGGCGUAAAGCGCGUGUAGGCGGUUUUUUAAGUCUGAUGUGAAAGCCCUGGGCUCAACCUGGGAAGUGCAUUGGAUACUGGAAGACUUGAAUACGGGAGAGGGCAGUGGAAUUCCUGGUGUAGGAGUGAAAUCCGUAGAUAUCAGGAGGAACACCGGUGGCGAAGGCGGCUGCCUGGACCGAUAUUGACGCUGAGACGCGAAAGCGUGGGUAGCAAACAGGAUUAGAUACCCUGGUAGUCCACGCCGUAAACGAUGAGUACUAGGUGUUGCGGGUAUUGACCCCUGCAGUGCCGCAGCUAACGCAAUAAGUAC